rnacentral:lncRNA from 1 species
UGUUGUACGCAGCAGGCGGCUUAUAAGUGUUGUAUGCAGCAGGCGGCUUAUAUUGCAGCAGCUUCUGGCUGAGUCUCCAGCUCCCAACUCCCUGCAGAGGCCCGGGGAUCAUGCACAACUGCUUCUGGUUUUCUAUGUUCUCUCAGCGAAUCUGAAGUAUUGGCUACAGACCCAGGCUUGCCUGCCACCUCAAGGUGCAGAGUGGUGAGUGCCUCUACAAAGAAUAAAGAUGUGAUGGAGAGUUAUAAGCUGGCCCUGAGAAAUGUCCAGUGUGUAGCUUCCACUUGUGCAGCCGGAGCUGUCACCCUGGUUGAUCCGUCUUGGAGUGUGCAUUCAAUAAACCAUCCCUGUUUAACUGAGA